GAUGAACGCUAGCGACAGGCUUAACACAUGCAAGUCGAGGGGCAGCACGGUGUAGCAAUACACUGGUGGCGACCGGCGCACGGGUGAGUAACACGUGUGCAACCAACCCCGUACCGGGAGAUAACCCGCGGAAACGUGGACUAACAUCCCAUGAUACUCGAGAGCCGCAUGGCUCUAGAUUUAAAAUUCCGGUGGUACGGGACGGGCACGCGCGACAUUAGGUAGUUGGCGGGGUAAGGGCCCACCAAGCCGACGAUGUCUAGGGGUUCUGAGAGGAAGGUCCCCCACACUGGAACUGAGACACGGUCCAGACUCCUACGGGAGGCAGCAGUGAGGAAUAUUGGUCAAUGGGCGAGAGCCUGAACCAGCCAAGUCGCGUGAGGGACGAAUGGUCUAUGGCCUGUAAACCUCUUUUGUCAAGGAAGAAUAAAUCGCACGGGUGCGAUCUUGCCAGUACUUGACGAAUAAGCAUCGGCUAACUCCGUGCCAGCAGCCGCGGUAAUACGGGGGAUGCGAGCGUUAUCCGGAUUUAUUGGGUUUAAAGGGCGCGUAGGCGGGACGUCAAGUCAGCGGUAAAAGACUGCAGCUAAACUGUAGCACGCCGUUGAAACUGGCGCCCUCGAGACGAGACGAGGGAGGCGGAACAAGUGAAGUAGCGGUGAAAUGCAUAGAUAUCACUUGGAACCCCGAUAGCGAAGGCAGCUUCCCAGGCUCGUUCUGACGCUGAUGCGCGAGAGCGUGGGUAGCGAACAGG
rnacentral:rRNA from 1 species